rnacentral:rRNA from 1 species
UGGCUCAGAACGAACGCUGGCGGCGUGCUUAACACAUGCAAGUGGAGCGACGAACCAGGCCUCGGCCUGGGGCGGAGCCGCAAACGGGUGAGUAACACGUGGGUAACGCGCCCCGAUGACCGGGACAACCCGGGGAAACCCGGGCUAAUACCGGAUGUGCCCUCCUCACAUCAGUGAGACGGGGAAAGGAAGCUUCGGCCUCCGCAUCGGGAUCGGCCCGCGGCCCAUUAGCUCGUUGGUGAGGUAAAAGCUCACCAAGGCCACGAUGGGUAGCUGGUCUGAGAGGACGAUCAGCCACACUGGGACUGAGACACGGCCCAGACUCCUACGGGAGGCAGCAGUGGG